AAUUUUUCUCCAUUCCCACUAAAAAGGAGAAAUCACUUCAUUUCAUUUCAGUAGUGAGCCAAGCCCCUUCUCCCCCUUUCUCCGAACAUAGAAUUAAGGUCUGCAAACCCUAGCCUCUCUUCGUCGAUCCGUCCAUCUAUCAAGCUACUGCCGCCAUCCGUCGCACGCAGGGGGUUCUCUUUGUCCGUCGAGCUAAUGCCCCUCCAUCCCCUUCUCCAAUCUUCUUCCUUUAGCAAAAUUGCGUGUAGCCCUUGCCCCUGACUCCACCUCGCAGCUUCUUUGUGGAGCUUGGCAGCCGUCGUCUUUGUCCUAAUUUUUCUCAAGUUCUCCUACCUCUGCUCUGCUUCAUGCCUCCGCCUCAACCAUCCAGUUGGUCUUUGUUGCUGCUUCCCCCGGGUCAUCAGUGGUGCCUCUUUGUUUUCCCUAUUGGUUGUCGUUGCUAGGUAUGUGGUUGUCGAUGUCGUUGCAUCUGCUUCUGCUUUAGACACUCAUUAAUUGGGGCUUGUGAUUGGAGCUCCUAAGUUCUGAGUUAUGCAGGUCAAGGGCCCCCCGAGUUGAGUUUCUAGCUACUGAUUUUCUCCUAAUUUAACUCUAUUUCAUAGAUUUUUUCUUAAAUUUUGUAUCUUUUAGGUUUAACCUAUUGAUUUUGGUUGUUUAUAUUGUUGAAUUAAACUUGAAUGCUUAACUGUUUAGUGCCCCUGAUUUGAUUAUUUUAUAUUGUUAUGGGAUAGAAAUAAAAAUUUUAAAAUAGAACAGCCAAAAGAGUGAUUGAUAUAAACCAGAAUUUUGAUAUAGCAGCACAAUGCUAUUAAUGAUGUGCAGUUGAAUUAGUAUUGCAAGUUGAACUUGAAUGUUCAAGGGUUGAUUUGAUGUAUUUUUUAUACUAUUUGCUAUAUGAUGCUUAGAAAAAACCUCGAUUGCCAUUUGUUCUGUCUUUCGUUCUGAUUUUAAUAUUGCUGCUCUACUGGUCUUAUUUUCUUGUUGCAAAAAUACUUCGCCGGUUCGCACUUGUAUGCAGAGGUUCAGGCCUAAGAACCAAGAAGCUUGGAACUUGAGAGAUGGGUUGAUGGGUGUGUGAGGAACACGGGUUUGAAUUGUUCGACUGACAAGUUCCUACAUCUUGAGAACAUGAAGCUGCCAGAGAUAAGCAGCGUGUUUAUGAAUAAGAGUAUGACACUUGAUGAAUGUGACAGUCUGUGUAAGAGGAAUUGUUCAUGCACUGCAUAUGCAAACAUUGAUAUCAGAAACGGAGGAAGUGGCUGUGUUAUGUGAAUUGGUCAACUCUUUGACAUGAGUGUCUACUGUACGGAUGGCCAAGAUGUCUAUGUCAGAUUGGCUGCAGCUAAUAUAGUUUGGUGACACACAGGAUCUACUAGCUCCAACAAGACUCAUAGAGUAGUACAGGUUAUUGGAAUCAUAUUUAGUGCACUUGUUUUAGUUUUUGGAUUGGUUGCUAUUUGUUACUUAUGGAAGAAGGGAAAACAAAGAUCUAGAGCCACUAUUCCAGGUUUUGUCCAUAGAAAUCAUGAUUGGUUAAUGAAUGAGGUGGUGCCUUCUAGAAGAUACUUGGGUGAUGAAAGGAACAUGGAUGAUCUAGAGUUGCCAAUGUUUGAUUUUGAUACCUUAAUGAUGGCUACAAACAAUUUCUCUCAAGAUAAUAAACUUGGAGAAGGAGGCUUCGGUAGUGUUUAUAGGAUUGAUUGAAGGCCAAGAAAAUGCUAUAAAAAGAUUGUCAGAAGACUCUGGAUAAGGAAUUGAAGAAUUUAAAAAUGAAGUCAAAUCAAUUGUCAAACUACAACACCGAAAUCUUGUUCGGUUGCUUGGUUGCUGCAUUAAGAAAAAUGAGAUGUUGGUAUAUGAAUAUAUGAAAAAUAGAGGCCUUGAUUCCAUUUUAUUUGGUAACUUGCAUUAUUUACUUAGAUUUUUCUAUUUUGGUAGUAAUUAUAAAAUUGGCCUCAGUUCCUAACUUCCUAUGCUUCAGAUAGAUGUCAUUCAAUUUGUUUUGGAUAGAUGAUUCAAAUCAUGAUGAUUACUAAAGUAAUUUUAUUGAAAGGUUUCAAGCUAU